rnacentral:rRNA from 1 species
CGUGUAGGCGGAUCGGUAAGUACCGUGUGAAAGCCCCCGGCUCAACCGGGGAACGGCUCGGUAUACUGUCGGUCUUGAGGCAGGUAGGGGCGAGUGGAACCCUAGGUGGAGCGGUGAAAUGCGUAGAGAUCUAGGGGAACGCCGGUGGCGAAAGCGACUCGCUGGACCUGUCCUGACGCUGAGACGCGAAAGCGUAGGGAGCGAACG